rnacentral:rRNA from 1 species
CUUUCGCUGCUUACCAUGCCAGUCGAGCGGUAGANANAAGCUUGCUUCUCUUGAGAGCGGCGGACGGGAUGANUAAUGCCUAGGAAUCUGCCUGGUAGUGGGGGAUAACGUUCGGAAACGGACGCUAAUACCGCAUACGUCCUACGGGAGAAAGCAGGGGACCUUCGGGCCUUGCGCUAUCAGAUGAGCCUAGGUCGGAUUAGCUAGUUGGUGGGGUAAUGGCUCACCAAGGCGACGAUCCGUAACUGGUCUGAGAGGAUGAUCAGUCACACUGGAACUGAGACACGGUCCAGACUCCUACGGGAGGCAGCAGUGGGGAAUAUUGGACAAUGGGCGAAAGCCUGAUCCAGCCAUGCCGCGUGUGUGAAGAAGGUCUUCGGAUUGUAAAGCACUUUAAGUUGGGAGGAAGGGCAGUUGCCUAAUACGUAACUGUUUUGACGUUACCGACAGAAUAAGCACCGGCUAACUCUGUGCCAGCAGCCGCGGUAAUACAGAGGGUGCAAGCGUUAAUCGGAAUUACUGGGCGUAAAGCGCGCGUAGGUGGUUUGUUAAGUUGGAUGUGAAAUCCCCGGGCUCAACCUGGGAACUGCAUUCAAAACUGACUGACUAGAGUAUGGUAGAGGGUGGUGGAAUUUCCUGUGUAGCGGUGAAAUGCGUANAUAUAGGAAGGAACACCAGUGGCGAAGGCGACCACCUGGACUAAUACUGACACUGANGUGCNAAACCGUGGGGA